GCCGUUUUAGUGGGUAAAAAUA
rnacentral:snRNA from 1 species